AAGCAACGAGAGGUCGGUCUGA
rnacentral:miRNA from 1 species